rnacentral:rRNA from 1 species
GACGAAGGGGGCUAGCGUUGUUCGGAAUUACUGGGCGUAAAGCGAGUGUAGGUGGUUGUCCAAGUUGAAUGUGAAAUCUCCGGGCUCAACCCGGAAAUGGCAUUGGAAACUGCGUGGCCAGAGGGUUGGAGGGGGACUGGAAUACUUGGUGUAGCAGUGAAAUGCGUAGAUAUCAAGUGGAACACCAGUGGCGAAGGCGAGUCCCUGGACAACACCUGACACUGAGGCACGAAAGCUAGGGGAGCAAACAGG